CCUACGGGAGGCAGCAGUGAGGAAUAUUGGUCAAUGGGCGUAAGCCUGAACCAGCCAAGUCGCGUGAGGGAUGAAGGUUCUAUGGAUCGUAAACCUCUUUUAUAAGGGAAUAAAGUGCGGGACGUUUCCCUUUUUGUAUGUAUCUUAUUAAUAAGUAUCGGCUAACUCUGUGCCAGCUGCCGCGGUAAUACGGAGGAUCCGAGCGUUAUCCGGAUUUAUUGGGUUUAAAGGGUGCGUAGGCGGCCUUUUAAGUCAGCGGUGAAAGUCUGUGGCUCAACCAUAGAAUUGCCGUUGAAACUGGGAGGCUUGAGUAUGUUUGAGGCAGGCGGAAUGCGUGGUGUAGCGGUGAAAUGCUUAGAUAUCACGCAGAACCCCGAUUGCGAAGGCAGCCUGCCAAGCCAUGACUGACGCUGAUGCACGAAAGCGUGGGGAUCAAACAGGAUUAGAUACCCGAGUAGUC
rnacentral:rRNA from 1 species